AGUGAACGCUGGCGGUAGGCCUAACACAUGCAAGUCGAACGGCAGCACAGGAGAGCUUGCUCUCUGGGUGGCGAGUGGCGGACGGGUGAGGAAUACAUCGGAAUCUACUCUGUCGUGGGGGAUAACGUAGGGAAACUUACGCUAAUACCGCAUACGACCUACGGGUGAAAGCAGGGGACCUUCGGGCCUUGCGCGAUUGAAUGAGCCGAUGUCGGAUUAGCUAGUUGGCGGGGUAAAGGCCCACCAAGGCGACGAUCCGUAGCUGGUCUGAGACGAUGAUCAGCCACACUGGAACUGAGACACGGUCCAGACUCCUACGGGAGGCAGCAGUGGGGAAUAUUGGACAAGGGGCGCAAGCCUGAUCCAGCCAUACCGCGUGGGUGAAGAAGGCCUUCGGGUUGUAAAGCCCUUUUGUUGGGAAAGAAAUCCAGCUGGCUAAUACCGGGUUGGGAUGACGGUACCCAAAGAAUAAGCACCGGCUAACUUCGUGCCAGCAGCCGCCGUAA
rnacentral:rRNA from 1 species